GGACGAACGCUGGCGGCGUGCUUAACACAUGCAAGUUGAACGACGGUCUUUGGAAGUAGCAAUAUGGAAGAAGAUACGUAGUAGCGGACGGGUGAGUACAACAUGAGAAGCUAUCCCAUAAAGGGGGACAACGUUUGGAAACGGACGCUAAUACCCCAUAAGCCGAGAGGUUAAAGCAGAGAUGCGAUGUGGGAGGUGCUCGUGCCCUAUCAGCUAGUUGGUGAGGUAACGGCUCACCAAGGCGAUGACGGGUAGCCGGCCUGAGAGGGCGACCGGCCACACUGGAACUGAGAAACGGUCCAGACUCCUACGGGAGGCAGCAGUGGGGAAUAUUGGGCAAUGGGAGAAAUCCUGACCCAGCGACGCCGCGUGAACGAAGAAGGCCCUUGGGUCGUAAAGUUCUUUUGCGCGGGAAGAAAGAAAUGACGGUACCGCGCGAAUAAGCCCCGGCUAACUACGUGCCAGCAGCCGCGGUAAUACGUAGGGGGCGAGCGUUGUC
rnacentral:rRNA from 1 species